AGCUGGCACCGUCUGGGCGAAAGGGAAUCCGGUUCCUAUUCCGGAACCCGGCCGCGGAACCGCUCCAAUUCGGGCCCUCAUCCGAGGACUCGUCGGGGUGACCCGAAAUGACCCGGAGAAGCCGUAGGGAGGUCCGGGGAGAGUUGUCUCUUCUCUAUAAGCGUUCGAGUUCCCUGGAAGCCUCUAGGAGGGAGAUAGGGUUUGGAACGCGAAGAGCACCGCACUUACGGCGGUGUCCGGAUCUUCCCCUCGGACCUUGAAAAUCCGGGCGAGGGCCACGAGGAACACCGCGCCGGCUCGUACCCAUAUCCGCAGCAGGUCUCCAAGGUGAAUAGCCUCUAGUCGAUAGAAUAAUGUAGGUAAGGGAAGUCGGCAAACCCGAUCUGUAACUUCGGGAUAAGGAUUGGCUCUGAGGAU
rnacentral:rRNA from 1 species